GACAGAGGUGCCAAGCGUUAGGCGGAAUCACUGGGCUUAAAGCGUGUGUAGGCGGAUCGGUAAGUACCUUGUGAAAUCCCACAGCUUAACUGUGGAACUGCUCGGUAUACUGCCAGUCUUGAGCCAGCUAGGGGCUACCGGAACAAAUGGUGGAGCGGUGAAAUGCGUAGAUAUCAUUUGGAACGCCAAUGGUGAAAACAGGUAGCUGGGGCUGUGCUGACGCUGGAGACACGAAAGCCAGGGAGCAAACGGG
rnacentral:rRNA from 1 species